rnacentral:lncRNA from 1 species
UGCAAGGUAAGUGUAAUGUGAGUCCUAGCUUUAAUGUUUCUGACUUGGUGCCGUAUAUUGUAGAUCAAACGGAUUUGAGGUCAAAUCCUUUUCAAGAGGGAGGGGAUGAUAUGAUCAUGGAAAGCACAAAGGACAUGGAACGUGAUAAAGAGCUUGUAGCCGAGGAGGAGCUUGAAGCAGAGGAGCCGCUUGAACCUGAGGAGUAUUUUGAACCAGAAAGUGAGCUCGUACCGGAGAAAGAGUAUGGAAAAGAUGUUAUCUUAACCUCACUGGUUUUGAUAAAUGAUCAUCAAAUGGGCAUGUGUCUCAUUUGU